UAUCAUUCACACAUUCAUCAUCAUUGAUAUCACCCGCACACUGAUCAUGAUAACGUUGAGGACGGUCCAUAUAUCCCACUGCUUUCUCGUGCCUUGAAGAGUCUCGAUCAGCUUUGCCCAUCUCGAGCAAUAUAACGCGUGAAGGUGCAUGCACCAGGCACCUUGAAAAUUUUGUAUAUAACGAAACUUUUUUCGACCGACAACCCACCUCCGCUUCUUCAACUUUACAGGAGACGUGAGGAGCAACGCAACAUCGUACGAGACUCGGGACAAAGGUGAAAAUGGUUAAGCACGUUGCUUCCGUGGAAGUUAUCUGGCAAGGGACCAGCAUCCGAGAUGCCUAAAAUCACUUCGACGCAUUUACACGGUUACAGCUUUUAAUCGUUGUCGGGAUGGAAAUUUUCAUCCACCCCCCAAGUAGAUGCCAAUUGUUCCAAGUCCUAGAACGCCGUACAUGUUCGAUUGAUGGGUGAAUUAAGUGUUAAAGAGUGGAUAGGGCCAAUAAGUGUCCGUCGGAGGACAAGUUCGGUGUCAGUUCAACGGGACACCGUCCUUUUCAAAGAAAGAUAAGGCAAUGAAUAGGUCGGCAGGAUGAAUUUCCAUUGUAUAAGCCAAGUGGCCUAAUAGCAACUCCACUUCAGAAGUGUGUGGCAUAUUCUGGCUAAUUACUUUUAUACCGUCACAUCAUUUAAUUAUUAACGUAAUAGAGAAAGAAGAUGUAAUACAAUGACACCUAUUUUCGUACGAUAAUUUAGGAAUUUGAAAUUCGAUUAUUAAUAGUGAGGUUACCAUUGAUAUUUUAUUUAGCUUU